rnacentral:rRNA from 1 species
GAUGAACGCUAGCGAUAGGCUUAACACAUGCAAGUCGAGGGGCAGCACAAGGUAGCUUGCUAUCUGGGUGGCGACCGGCGCACGGGUGCGUAACGCGUAUGCAACUUGCCCUAUACAGGAGGAUAACCCGUCGAAAGACGGACUAAUACUGCGUAUGCUCACAACUUGGCAUCAAGUGGUGAGGAAAGAAAUUCGGUAUAGGAUAGGCAUGCGUCCCAUUAGCUUGUUGGUGAGGUAACGGCUCACCAAGGCAACGAUGGGUAGGGGAACUGAGAGGUUUAUCCCCCACACUGGUACUGAGACACGGACCAGACUCCUACGGGAGGCAGCAGUGAGGAAUAGUGGUCAAUGGGCGCGAGCCUGAACCAGCCAAGUCGCGUGAAGGAGGACUGUCUUAUGGAUUGUAAACUUCUUUUAGACGGGAAUAACAAGAGUCACGUGUGACUCCCUGCAUGUACCGUAUGAAUAAGCAUCGGCUAACUCCGUG